GACGAACGCUGGCGGCGUGCUUAACACAUGCAAGUCGAACGCUGAAGCUCAGCUUUUGUUGGGUGGAUGAGUGGCGAACGGGUGAGUAACACGUGAGUAACCUGCCCCCUUCUUUGGGAUAACGCCCGGAAACGGGUGCUAAUACUGGAUAUUCACUGGUCUUCGCAUGGGGGUUGGUGGAAAGGGUUUUUCUGGUGGGGGAUGGGCUCGCGGCCUAUCAGCUUGUUGGUGGGGUGAUGGCCUACCAAGGCUUUGACGGGUAGCCGGCCUGAGAGGGUGACCGGUCACAUUGGGACGGAGAUACGGCCCAGACUCCUACGGGAGGCAGCAGUGGGGAAUAUUGCACAAUGGGCGCAAGCCUGAUGCAGCGACGCCGCGUGAGGGAUGGAGGCCUUCGGGUUGUGAACCUCUUUCGCUCAUGGUCAAGCCGCAACAAUGGUUGUGGUGAGGGUAGCGGGUAAAGAAGCGCCGGCUAACUACGUG
rnacentral:rRNA from 1 species